rnacentral:rRNA from 1 species
GACGAGGGGUCCUAGCGUUGUUCGGAAUCAUUGGGCGUAAAGCGUAUGUAGGCUGCCGCGCAAGUCAGUUGUGAAAGCCCCGGGCUCAACCCGGGAAGUGCUUCUGAUACUGCAUGGCUUGAAUACUGGAGAGGGUAGUGGAAUUCCUGGUGUAGUGGUGAAAUACGUAGAUAUCAGGAGGAACAUCGGUGGCGAAGGCGGCUACCUGGCCAUGUAUUGACGCUGAGAUACGAAAGCGUGGGGAGCAAACAGG